rnacentral:lncRNA from 1 species
GGGUGAAACGAAGUUGUGUGGUGAUAAUCUUAUUCCACAGGAGAUUUUUCAGAUCUGAAAACCGAUUAUUUGAACCUCAAAUAGCACUUUUAAAAAUAAUUUGCCCAAAAUUAUUGGCCAAAAUAUGUGUGUCCAGAAAAACUGGUGUGAACUCAACUUUACUGUGCUAGUCAGCCCUUAUGUUAGCAUCCUGUUAAGGCCAGGCCCUNNNNNNNNNNNNNNNNNNNNUGAAAAGUGGCUGCACUAAAAAACUCUUCCACUGAUGUGAUGAACUUCUCCCGAUGUGGUGAACCUUCCUCUCCUUCACUGAAGAGCAUGACACCUAACUGGACUGCGAGGAAGCAGGGAUGGAGGGGUGCUCGCAGUAUCCAGCAGCAUGCUGCAGGCAGGCAGGCCUGGAAGGAGCACAUCGCUUCUGCGGCUGGUGCACACUGAGAGGCCUACGGUUGUCUGGCAGGAGCCAGGGAAGCAAGGUCCGUGCUUCAAAUACUGUUUCAGAGAGAAAUGAGUCGGAAGUAAGCUUGCUUAUGUGCAGCAAGCAAAAAAUGCAGUUUUUAUGCUGAGCUAUGAGGAAAGACUGUCAGGGAGGAAGAAGUCAGCAGGUAUUCUGCAGAGAAAGGAAAAGGAUGCAGAUCCAGUGAAGAAAAGGGAACAGAGGACCAUCAACAAACAGAAACACACAAGAAGGAGAACUCCUGUGGGGCAAGGCCAGAGGGUGCAUCUGCUGAAGGACGAGGACCUAUUGAGGGGGGCCAGCAUCGAGACCCUGAGACCUCGUUGCCGUAGGUGGUUCUGCAUGGCUCCUGCGCUGAGUGAUGCUGGCCGGAGAGGCCACGUCCACGGAGCACCACGUCCUGCGGGACCUCACGGUGGACGAGCGCAGGCUGCAAACAUCUGCGCUUGGUGCUGUAGCCGUGUUGCAAUGCUUCCUCUUGGCGCCCAGGGUUUAAGGCGACAGCCAGCACCAGCGCAGCCAAACUGUGGAAAAGGAGAUGGAUCACCCAUGCGAGAGGCCUCCUGCGAGCCACUGCCAAGGACCGUGCAGCUCAGCCCUCGUGCCGCUGGCGCAGUUAUUUAUUUACCUGCGCUCAGGUCAUGCCCGGGCUGUCACCACGGCCCCCUGAGCCCCUCAGUACGGCCAAGGCCUCAACGGCGACCCCCAUCAGGCCCCAGACCCUCCCUGGAGGCAAAAGGAGGCGGAGGGCAGGGACCAGAGCGGAGCCUGGGGGCUUGAGGCCCUCGGGGGCCGCACCAUGGCCGCUCUCCCCGGGGGCCGUGGAUGCGGGUGGGAGCGGCGGCGGCCGGCAGGUGGCCCCCGUGGCCGCCCUCCCCUCACCCAGGGGGGCUGGGGGGGGCUGCAUUUCCCUGCCUUCCCCUGCCCUGCCGGCCGUGGGCGCCACGGCUCCCCUCUUGGGAGGUGCGGAGGCCGGGGGAGGGCACCCUCCCUCCAUCCAUCCCUCCCUCCUUCUCCAUCUCCCUGCCUGCCGCGGCGGCGGCGAGGGGGAAGGAGGGCGGGCAGCCCCCGCCCGGCUCCCUCCUUCUCCUCCCUCCUUCCCUCCCUCCCUGCCUGCCAGCCUCGGGGCUGGCUUCCUCCCCGGGAAAUGCCCCUCCCGGCCGAUCUCUGAACAUCCCCCCCCCACCUUUUCCCUCCGCCCUCGCACGGCA